AGCGAACGCUGGCGGCAGGCUUAACACAUGCAAGUCGAGCGGGCGUAGCAAUACGUCAGCGGCAGACGGGUGAGUAACGCGUGGGAACGUACCUUUUGGUUCGGAACAACCCAGGGAAACUUGGGCUAAUACCGGAUAAGCCCUUACGGGGAAAGAUUUAUCGCCGAAAGAUCGGCCCGCGUCUGAUUAGCUAGUUGGUGAGGUAAUGGCUCACCAAGGCGACGAUCAGUAGCUGGUCUGAGAGGAUGAUCAGCCACAUUGGGACUGAGACACGGCCCAAACUCCUACGGGAGGCAGCAGUGGGGAAUAUUGGACAAUGGGCGCAAGCCUGGUCCAGCCAUGCCGCGUGAGUGAUGGAGGCCCUAGGGUUGUAAAGCUCUUUCACCGGAGAAGAUAAUGACGGUAUCCGGAGAAGAAGCCCCGGCUAACUUCGUGCCAGCAGCCGCGGUAAUAC
rnacentral:rRNA from 1 species